rnacentral:misc_RNA from 1 species
GAUGAAGAACGUAGCGAAAUGCGAUAAGUAAUGCGAAUUGCAGAAUUCAGUGAAUCAUCGAAUCUUUGAAUGCACAUUGCGCCCGCCAGUAUUCUGGCGGGCAUGCCUGUCCGAGCGUCAUUUCAACCCUCGAACCCCUCCGGGGGGUCGGCGUUGGGGAUCGGCCCUUUCACCGGGUGCCGGCCCCUAAAUACAGUGGCGGUCUCGCCGCAGCCUCUCAUGCGCAGUAGUUUGCACACUCGCACCGGGAGCGCGGCGCGUCCUCGUCCGUAAAACACCCCAAACUUCUGAAAUGUUGACCUCGGAUCAGGUAGGAAUACCCGCUGAACUUAAGCAUAUCAAUAAGCGGAGGA